UGGGGAAUCUUAGACAAUGGGGGAAACCCUGAUCUAGCCAUGCCGCGUGAGCGAUGAAGGCCUUAGGGUUGUAAAGCUCUUUCAGCUGGGAAGAUAAUGACGGUACCAGCAGAAGAAGCCCCGGCUAACUCCGUGCCAGCAGCCGCGGUAAUACGGAGGGGGCUAGCGUUGUUCGGAAUUACUGGGCGUAAAGCGCACGUAGGCGGAUUAGUCAGUCAGAGGUGAAAUCCCAGGGCUCAACCCUGGAACUGCCUUUGAUACUGCUAGUCUUGAGGUCGAGAGAGGUGAGUGGAAUUCCGAGUGUAGAGGUGAAAUUCGUAGAUAUUCGGAGGAACACCAGUGGCGAAGGCGGCUCACUGGCUCGAUACUGACGCUGAGGUGCGAAAGCGUGGGGAGCAAAACAGGAUUAGAUACCCUGGUAGUCCACGCCGUAAACGAUGAAUGCCAGUCGUCGGGUUUG
rnacentral:rRNA from 1 species